CCAACUAAAAUGAGCAGAAUGGCUGAUCAUAUACAUUUAAUAGAUCAGUUAACUCUUCAAUCUAUGGGCUGAUCGACCAGCAAGCAAAAUUGAUAUCGAAUGGAGGAGGCAAGAGGGCUAGGGAGGCCGGAGCCGGAGGAGCCCGCUCCAAAGAAAGGCAAACAGUGGUGUCAUCGAACAUUUAGGUUUAAUGAUUAAUUACACAAAGCAAACAAUUAUGUGUACUGUAAAUAAUGCGCUAACUGUUCAUUGCUGUAAAUUUUCUUGUUCUUUUUGUCUCCAUGCUGUAUCCAUGUAUUUGGUGAUCUCCGA